GGCUGAGCGCGGGCGGGGUGGCCACGACGACGGGCGCAGCUGCGCCGAGACCGCAGAGGCCGGCGCCGCGCGGGUUGUAAAUCCGAGUGGUGGUGGUGCGCUGCAUGCCUUUUUCUUCUUCUUCUCUACUUGUUCUUCUUUACCGUCUCGGGCGCUCGUCCGAGUGCGUGCGUGCGUGAGUGACUGUCGGGGUCGACGGCUGUUUUAUCUGUGGGUGCGGGCGCGCGUG
rnacentral:lncRNA from 1 species